CAGGGUUCUUUAAUCUGUUUCUCUAUAAGAACACUCAAUUUUCACGCUUUCUGUCUUCUUUCUUCCAGGGCUCUCCCCUUGCCCUAGGCUCUGGCCGUUGCGCCCGGCGGGGUCAACUCCAUGAUUAGCAUGGAGCUGUAGGAGUCUAAAUUGGGGACGCAGAUGUUUGGGACGUCACCUUGCAGUGUUAACUUGGCUUUCAUGAACCUCUUUGAUCUUCCACAAGGGGUAGGCUACGGGUGAAACCCCUUAGGCUAAUACUUCUAUGAAGAGAUGCCUUGGAUAGGGUAACAGCGGCGGAUAUUGGUGAGUUGUUAAGACAAAAACCAUUCAACGCCGAAGGACUGGCUCUCAUCCAGUGGAUGCAUUGAGUGAAUUGAUUGUCAGGGCUGUCUCUAGGUUUAAUCUCAGACCUCUCUGUGCUUAGGGCAAACACUAUUUGGCCUUAAAUGGGAUCCUGUGAGAGGGGGUCCCUCCAUUGACAGCUGGACUGUUCUUUGGGGCCUUAUGUGGUGUUUGCCUCUGAGGUACUCAGGGGCAUUUAGGUUUUUCCUCAUUCUUAAAUGAUAAUG
rfam:Hepatitis A virus genomic RNA, complete sequence, isolate FH3.